GACCCAUUAGCUCAGUCGGUAGAGCAUCUGACUUUUAAUCAGAGGGUCCCGCGUUCGAGUCGCGGAUGGGUCACCA
rnacentral:tRNA from 3 species